rnacentral:lncRNA from 1 species
AUGUCACGACCCAACUCCAAUCGUGACCGGCGCACGAACUAAUACUAGUCCGGCAAGCCUAAUGACCGAAUUUGACAAACAAUAAAUAUAUUAUUUCCAAAUGACUAUUUAUUUUAGAACAAUUUUACUGAAAUUUCGACAAAGUCUCAUCUAUAUUUUGAAUGUUUCCAAAUCAGAAUAAAUCCUGUUUGCAGCAUAUACAUCAUUCAGUCAGAAUUUUCAAAAUAUACAUGUUUAAAUUUAUACAUUUCAAAACAAGAUAUUCCUAGACUCAAAAUAGCUGCAGAUACUCGAUCAACUCCAAAUAUACAUAUACAAAAUAGUUUUUAUCAAGAAGGCCUACCAAAAGAGUGACAUUGACAAAUCGUUAACUCUGCUAGAAGCUUUCUAUUCAGUUGACUUUGAAUCUGAAAAAAAAUAUAAGAUGAAGGAGUAAGUCACAAGGACUUAGUGAGAGAUAACAAUCAUUACCAACUAGAUGGGAAACACACAAAGGCACGAGCAUUUUAUUUUUUUAGAAAGCUUGUAACAAUUAUUGUAAAGUAGUAACUAUGUAAUAUAAAUAAUACUCGAUUCAAAUCAUUAUAGAGUUUGAAAUUGAAAUUGAAAUAAGAAAAGAUAUAGAAAUCCAAUCAAAUAAAAAUAAGUCAUUACGAGAGAAUCGAGAGACGGCUACAUCUCGUUGAUAGCCCUUUCCUCCUAAGAGUGGCCUUUCACUUAGGGGCGGCUCCAUCUAACGGAUAGCCCUUUCCUCCUCGAUUACGGAAACACAUCCUCAUAUUUAAUUAGGGGGUAUACAGCUCGUUGAUAGCCAAUUCGUUA